UCUAAAACCCGAGAUAUAGGUUGAACACCAAACAGUAUUUGGGUUGCAGGACAGAUUCAAACUUCUCUUUUGUUGCUAAGAUUUGAACUUGAUAAUGGUAGCUUUGAAUCUUGGACUCUUCAUGCAUGUUUUAGGCCUAUAUCUUAGCUUUCAAUC
rfam:Populus trichocarpa scaffold_8_contig_110, whole genome shotgun sequence.